UACGAAGGGUGCAAGCGUUAUUCGGAAUUACUGGGCGUAAAGCGUGCGUAGGCGGUUUGUUAAGUCUGCUGUGAAAUCCCCGGGCUCAACCUGGGAAUGGCAAUGGAUACUGGCAAGCUAGAGUGUGUCAGAGGAUGGUGGAAUUCCCGGUGUAGCGGUGAAAUGCGUAGAGAUCGGGAGGAACAUCAGUGGCGAAGGCGGCCAUCUGGGACAACACUGACGCUGAGGCACGAAAGCUAGGGGAGCAAACAGG
rnacentral:rRNA from 1 species